CUGUUUAUUAUCUCUGCAUAGUCACUUCACCCCCACCUACAUGUACAAAUUACCUCAACUAACCUGUACCCCCGCACACUGACUCGGUACCGGUGCCCUUGGUACUCUUCAUGAACUGCACUGUUGGUUAAGGGCUUGUAAGUAAGCAUUUCACGGUAAAGUCUACACUUGUUGUAUUCGGCGCAUGUGACAAAUAACAUUUGAUUUGAUAUGUUUACAUUGCCAAAGCAAGUGAAAUAAACAACAAACAAAAAGUGAGAAGAAACAAAUGUAACAACAUCAACAAAAAACGAUUAGAAAUGAACGGUAAACAUUGUGCUCAAAAAAGUUUCAAAAAGAUAAAGACAUUUCCAGUGUUAUAUUAUCAGCUGUUUUAGCAAUGCGCAAAUAGUUGUAGUGCGAAUAGUGCGGGAAGAUAAAUAAGUAUUGGUGGUAUUUUCAAUGUUGUCUGUGCUCCACUGGUUGCCCUUUUCUCAUGGCAACAGGCCACAAAUCUUGCUAGUGUGAUUGCACAUUGUGGUAUUUCGCCUACCAGAUAUAGGAGUUUAUCAACGUUUGUGGGUCUGUGUGAUCUGUGUGAAAUAUGUGUAUCUAAUGUGGUUAUACAUUUGGCAGGAGGUUAGGAAGUGCUGCUCAGUUUCACCUCAUUUUGUGGACAGUGGGCACAUAUCCUGUCUUCUCUUGAGAGCCAGGACUGCCUAUGGCGACCUCUCUCAAUAGCUCUCUCUCUGUCUCUAAGUUCAGGAUAGGAGAUGCCUCGGGCAUGACUUCAUAGGACAGGUGUUAUUUGCUCUGCUCUCUCAAGGCUGUGCAGUUGAAUCUUCAAAGGGGGAGAUGGGAAAGAUUACCGACAUAAAAGGUUAGACUUGGCGUCUCUUUCUGUUUGGCCUGGACCUCCUCUCGCCUGGCUGCUGAGCUCUGGUUAGCAAAUGACUACUUCUGACCAGAGGCCUAUGGGCCCUGGUCAAAAGUAGUGCACUAUAUAGGGAAUAGGGUGCCAUUUGGGAUGCAUAUGAUGCCUGUGUGAUGAGCUAGAGGCCCGUUUGCUCACAUGGUCCUGGUGGAAAUACACACCCUUGUGCAAGAGAUUGGUCACACACCUCGCUGUGUACAGUGAAGAUUAUUAUUAGGAAGGAAGGCGGUUGGGGUGGAGUAUCUGGGAAGGAAGGUAUCCUGAUUAUAGUGGCUAAGGAUUUUGUUGGUUCAUUGAACUGUCCCCUAAAUAUUUUCAAUGAUUACUGAAGUCUAUCAAAUUACCAUUGAAUGUUUCUUAAGGUGGUAGAACUCCACUUUGUUCCCCUCUAACUCAACCCCUAAUCAGACCUGUUUUUGAUAGUGUAAACUCAUACACGCGUGCACAUAUGCAGACACACACACAUUCACACACAUUUGCAUGUAAGGAAGUACAAGUACGGAGGACACGGCAGGUGCGUGCUAGACAUUGGUCGCUGCCCGUUUUACCUGAGGCUAAGUAGAGUGGAUUCUCUCCCUAUCUCGAAUGCAGUGAACAGAGCCAUAGAAUGCAUCCUAAAUGGCCCCCUAUUCCUUAUUUAGUACACUACUUCUGACCAAGGCCUCUGGUAAAAGGUGCUGCACUCUACAGGGAAUAGGGUGCCAUUUAGGAUGCAAAAUUACAGUCAGCAGAGAGAGAGAGAGAGAGAAAAUCCUCUACCAGAAAACGGAUAUCAUAGAGAAUCCUGUCAGACAACUCUUCCUUUCUCUCAUUCUUUCCUUUUCUCCUCAUCAUUCAUUCCCCUCUUUCACUCUUUCCUGUCCUCUGCAAUAGAUUGUGACGUCUUCUUUCUGUACCUCCAUGUUGUUGUGUUCCCUUCCUCAACAAUGACAGUGAUGUGCGCUGGUCCCUAUCAGUUGUGUGUUUAUACAGGUCAGUGGAGCGCAUGGCUGCAUGGUGGGGGCCAGGCUAUGGGACCAGACUACAGGGGCCAGGCCAGUUGAGGAGUGUCUUUGCCCAGGUCAGUGAACACCGUGCUGGGGGAGAGACCCAGAGAGAAACACCUGGCUGGCGGUCCCACUCCCCUCUCUCUCUCUACCCCCACUCCCCCUUCCACCCCUCUCCCCUACUCCCCUCCUUUCUUCUCCCCUCCUCACUUCCCCCUCUCAUCCCCUUCCGUCCUCCCCUCCUGCUCCACCAGCCUCAGCUGCUAACACCGUCAGGCGCCAGGAGGACAUCUGCCCACCUCUGGGUAAUGGAGCUGUCACUAAUGUAGUCCGUUUACGCUUAGCCCAGCUUUGCCAUUUAUGUCUCUCUCUCUCUCCCUCCUCCUCUCUUCCCCUCAUACUUCAAUCCUUCCCUCUGAGCGCUGCCUGCUGCUCAAGAACUGUUGAACUGCUGUAACUAUGUCAAGCUUUUCUCACCCUCCUCUCACAGCUCAUGCCACUGUGCAGUGCAGUAUGUGUCGCUUAGGUUAGGUCUAACUUAGACACUGUGAACUCCUUGAGAUAUUCUCUUCCGUUUUAUGUUAUGUUUUAUGUUAUGCUAUCAUUUUUUUUUGAUUCAGUACUGAUGAUAAACAACGACUUUCAAUGAAUGUGACAGCCAAGGGAAAUCCAAGUGCACUAAAGGGAAUAUGGUGCCAUUUGGGACGUGUCCUGGGUCAGCAGCAGGCCAGAGACUGGGCUCCUCCACCCAGGAAGACUGGGUGUAGUCAUAAAUGACAAAAGUACAUCUACUUGGCCUUUGCAGCUAGAGACUGGGAGAGGAGCGGAGACAGGAGCUCGUGGCUGGUAGAAGGAUGCACUGGUAAUAAAAAUGCGAAGGACCUGAGCCCUAGGACCAUGCCUCAGACUACCUGGCCUGAUGACUCCUUGCUGUCCCCAGUCCACCUGGCCGUGCUGCUGCUCCAGUUUCAACUGUUCUGCCUGCGGCUAUGGAACACUGACUUGUUCACCGGACGUGCUACCUGAAUGAUUGGCUAUGAAAAGCCAACUGACAUUUACUCCUGAGGUGCUGACCUUUUGCACCCUCGACAACCACUGUGAUUAUUAUUAUUAUUUGACCCUGCUGGUCAUCUAUGAACAUUUGAACAUCUUGGCCAUGUUCUGUUAUAAUCUUCACCCGGCACAGCCAGAAGAGGACUGGCCACCCCUCAUAGCCUGGUUCCUCUCUAGGUUUCUUCCUAGGUUCUGGCCUUUCUAGGGAGUUUUUCCUUGCCACCGUGCUUCUACACCUGCAUUGCUUGCUGUUUGGGGUUUUAGGCUGGGUUUCUGUACAGCACUUUGUGACAUCAGCUGAUGUAAGAAGGGCUUUAGAAAUACAUUUGAUUGAUUGAUUGAUUGAAUUGAGUUUGGUUGACAACUAAACCAAAUAUCAACAUUUAAAGGAGAUGUAUCUACUGCUUGGAUAGGUCCAUCUGAGCCAUUGGCUUAAUCCAGAUGGAGACAUGAAUCCAACAUAUAAUCUGUUAACUUGUCGACAGGUUAAUUGGCUAUUUAUACUAUUUCAAAAGUAUCUUCUGCUUGGAUAGUUCCAUCUGUGCCACUGACUUAGUCUAGCUUUUAUUCCAGUUUGUAUACAAAUUAAUAAUUGAUAUGUUGGAUUCACAUCUCAAUCUCAACCAAAAAUCUAAGUUAAAGAAUAGGACUAAAUCAAAUCAAAUCAAACUUUAAAUGCACUUUAAAUAAAGUUAGAUUUGAUUUGGUCCUACUCUUUAUCUUAGAUUUUUGGUUGAGAUGGAAACAUGAAUCCUCCAUAUCAAUUAGCCAGACUAAGUCAGUGGUACAGAUGGAACUAUCCAAGCAGAGUAACUACUUCCUUCAAAUGUUGAUCUUUUGACAACCAAACACAUAUUAAUAUCCCCAAAUAUCAUUAUCUUUGAAAUCAACUAGAGCUUGAAACGCUAGGCCUAUUGUAUUGCCUAUUAUAAUUUUAUUGGAAUUCUGGGUUGAAUUGAAACAAUAGUUGUUGAUGACUUCGCAAAUCCUAUACAAGCCUAAAUAGCAUAAUUGAAGAUAUAUGAGUGAUAAAGUUGUUGAUUUUUUUAGGGGGCUCCUGAGUGGUGCAGCAGUCUAAGGCACUGCAUCUCAGGGCUAGAAGCAUCACUACAGACCCUGGUUUGAUCCCGGGCUGUAUCACAACAGGCUGUGAUCGGGAGUCCCACAGGGCAGCGCACAAUUGGCCCAGCGUCAUUCGGGUUAGGGGAGGGUUUGGCAAGGGUAGGCCAUCAUUGUAAAAUAAGAAUAUGUUCUUAACUGACGUGCCUAGUUAAAUUAAAAAUAAAUACAAAUUAGGAUCCCCAAUGGCAAUAGCUAGUCUUACUGAGGUCUGACUCAUAACAAAAAAGUAAUUACUGACAAAAGACUUUACAAUUUAAAAACAUGAACAUGUAGUGUGUGCAUCUAUUUAUAAAGUAUGGUCACAUUUAAUUUGCUUUGUUAAACCUAGCCUUUGGAGGGACUUUGACAGCAACAGUGAAUCUAUUUUGUUUUUUAAAUGGAGAUCUCUCAGAAAUCAUUCUCACGAUAGUACAUUGGUAAUAGUCAUUGACAAAUAUCAUAGCCACGCUGGGCUGGGUUUGGUUUAAAGCCUGAAUGGGAGUCCAAAUGGUAGCUAUAGAAAGAUCAAUGCUCCUGUAGGAAGUGCUGUCCAUCUUAUAUUUUUCUUUUAGUGUACAUAACAUUGAAGAUCUGACGUUGUUUUAAAGUUAUAAGUUCAACAUAUUUUAUACAAGGCUUGUCUAUGUUGUAAUUUGGUUACCAUUAUGAUAUAAUCCUGAGGUUGAAAUGUCACCCUCAAAAAAAGUUGAUUACUUUUUUCAAAUCCAAUGUAUCAUCCAUGUAGAUUCUUUGUCACAAUAACGUUAACAAAUUAUGUUGCAACCACGUUUUCAAAGUUGUGUGCAAAAGAACCAUAGGACCACCACGCACUCACCAAGCGUUAAGCAACAUAAGGUUCUCAAAACGUUAUGUGCUAGCUGGGUUUAAACAAGCUAGGGGGUUAUGGAUUAUUGCCUACUGUGAGCCAAAGCAGUUGCUACUGAGCAUCUCAAUAUUAGCUUUUAUUGUUUCCAGCUGCUGGGAUGAUGAGUGAGUGUCAGAGGAGAGAUGCUACAUAUCCUAUGGAGUUUGACACUAAUUGCAUCUUCCACCCAUAAUCAUUCCAGAGAAACACCCAACUGCUCCCAUAGAGAGUCUAUGGCUGUGUCCCAAAUUUCAUCCUAUUCCCUGCACUACUUUUGACCAGAGGCCUGGGGAAUAGAGUGCCAUUUGGGAAGCAGUCUAAUCUCUUACCACCUUUAUUGGAUUCCAUUCCCCCCCGCAACAUAUCACAAUAUUAAACAAUGUUCUGUCUGUCAUUGUCUGAGCCACUGAGUGUCUUGAUAUCUCCACAUCAAUACUGCUCAACUAGGCCUACAUCUCAAUUACUUCCAUUGGGUGCACUUUGUAUUCAGCUCCGAUCUACAAUACUGAAUGUUCUUCAAAGGUAUACAUGACAAUGGUGUGUGAAAUCAUCAUCCUCCCUUUACCAGCUUACAGACAGAUAGGCACGGAGGCAGGCAGCCAGGUAGGCAGACAAGCAGGCAGGAAGGCAGACAGGUGAUUAUUCUCCUCCUCCUCCUCUUCCGCCAAGAGAAGAAACCAUGAUAUAAUGUAUAUUUAAUGUCAGCUAUCUACCACUACCACCAUGUAUGUACUGUAUGUAUGUAUGUAUGCAUGUAUGUAUGUAUGUAUGUAUGCAUGUAUGCAUGUAUGUAUGUAUGUAUGUAUGUAUGUACACCUGCUUGUCGAACAUCUCAUUCCAAAAUCAUGGGCAUUAAUAUGGAGUUGGUCACCCCUUUGCUGCUACAACAGCCUCCACUCUUCUGGGAAGCCUUUCCACUAGAUGUUGGAACAUUGCUGCGGGGAUUGCUUCCAUUCAGCCACAAGAGCAUUAGUGAGGUCGGGCACUGAUGUUGGGCGAUUAGGCCUGGCUCGCUGUCGGCGUUCCAAUUUAUCCCAAAGAUGUUCAAUGUCGUUGAGGUCAGGGCUCUGUGCAGGCCAGUUAAGUCCUUCCACACCGAUCUCAACAAACCAUUUCUGUAUGGACCUCACUUUGUGCACGGGGGCAAUGUCAUGCUGAAACAGGAAAGGUCCUUCCCCAAACUGUUGCCAAAGAGUCGGAAGCACAGAAUUGUCUAGAAUGUAAUUGUGUGCUGUAGCGUUAAGAUUUCAGUUCACUGGAACUAAGGGGCGUAACCCGAACCAUGAAAAACAGCCCCAUACCAUUAUUCCUCCUCCACCAUUAGGGCAGAUAGCGUUCUCCUGGCAUCCCAAACCCAGAUGUGUCCGCCAGAUGAUGAAGCGUGAUUCAUCACUCCAGAGAACACGGUUCCACUGCUCCAGAGUCCAAUGGCGGCGAGCUUUACACCACUCCAGCCAACGCUUGGUAUUGCGCAUGGUGAUUUUAGGCUUGUGUGCAGCUGCUCGGCCAUGGAAACCCAUUUCAUAAAGCUCCAGUUCUUGUACUGACGUUGCUUCUCGAGGCAGUUUGGAACUCGGUAGUGAGUGUUGCAGCCGAGGUCAGACGAUUUUUAAGCAUUAUGCACUUCAGCCCGCGCCGGUCCCGCUCUGUGAGCUUAUGUGGCCUACCACUUUGCGGCUGAACCAUUGUUGAUCCUAGAAGUUUCCACUUCACAAUAACAGCACUUACAGUUGACCGGGGCAGCUCUAGCUGUGUCGAAAUUGCACGAACUGACUUGUUGGAAAGGUGCCAUCGUAGCAUGAUACCACGUUGAAAGUCACUGAGCUCUUUGUCAGUACGGGCCAUUCUUCUGCCAAUGUUUUGUCUUUGGAGAUUGCAUGGCUGUGUGGUCGAUUUUAUACAACUGUCAGCAACGGAUGUGGCUGAAGUAGCCAAAUCCACUAAUUUGAAGGGGUGUCCAAAUACUACUAGUGUCUGUCUGUCUGUAUGUAGCUAUGUACAGUAUGUAAGUGCAUUCAGAAAGUAUUCAUACCAUUUAACUUUUCAACAUUUUGUUGUAUUACAAAGUGGAAUUAAAAUGUAUUUAAUUUUUAAAAAAUUGGUGAAAGAGAUACACAAAUUCUCAAAGUGGAAGAACAAUUCGUAAAAAAAACACAUUUGUAAAAAAAACACAAAAAAACACUAAUACUGUAUGUCUUGACUCAAUAAGUAUUUAACUCCCUGAGUCAGUACAUGUUAGAAUGUGUGAGUCUUAGAGAAGAGCUUUGCACACCUGGGUUGUAGAAUAUUUGGACAUUAUUCUUUUUUAAAUCGUUGUUGGACAGCCAUUUGUAAGUCUUGCCAUAGAUUUUCAAGCCGAUAUAAAUCCUAACUGUAACUAGGCCACUCAGGAACAUUCAAUGUUGUCUUGGUAAGCAACUCCAGUGUAUAUUUGGCCUUGUGUUUCGGGUUAUUGUCCUGCUGAAAGGUGAAUUUGUCUACCAGUGUCUGUUGGAAUGCAGACUGAACCAGGUUUUACUCUAGGAUUUGUGUAUGUGUUUGGCUUUGUUCUGUUUCUUUUUAUCAACAACAAAAACAACUCCAUAGUCCUUGCAGAUGACAAGCCUACCGAUGACAUGAUACAGCCACCAAGAUGCUUGAAAAUAUGAAGAGUGGUACUCAGUGAUGUGACAUGUUGGAUUUGCCCCAAACACAACACUUUGUAUUCAGGACAUGAAGAUAAUUUCUUUGCCACAGUUUUUGCAGUUUUACUUUAGAGCCUUAAUGCAAACAGGAUGCAUGUUUUGGAAUAGUUUUAUUCUGUACAGGCUUCCUUCUUUUCACUCUGUCAAUUAGGUUAGUAUUGUGGAGUAAUUACAAUGUUGUUGAUCCGUCCUCAGUUAUAUCCUAUCACAGUCAUUAAACUCUGUAACUGUUUUAAAGUUA